ensembl:lncRNA
AGGAGACCUGAUUGGCGGGGAGUCUCUGUUUAAUUUUAGGAUUGCAGCGAGUCAAUCCAGUCAAAAGUAUAGAGAACUAUUUUCCUAAAAAGGAAAACGAAAUAAAACAAAUGAUUGAGCUCAUUUUGCUGAUGUGGAGCAUCUGAUGACGUGUGCAGAAGGCUGCAGUAUCAGCAAAAAGAUCGUGUGUGAAUGCAAGUGGGGAAAUAAAUGAAAGGACAAGUGGGAGACUUAAAUCUGGGGAUGCUGAUUUUGGGAUGUUGAUGUUUACUUUGAGGUAAUUAUUUACUGGGGUUGGAUUAUGUUAUUACAUUAUAGAAUGCUAAAUGCUAAAAGGGAAACGUUGUUUGAUGAAAUUCAAGUUACCAUUAACUGGGGUAACUCAUGAUUAAUAACUGUUCUGGUUAUGUUUAUUUUUGUUAUGACAUAGACGGGAUCAAAAAGGGAGAGUUGAGUAUGAAAUGUAAACUACAGGUUUUGUUUCCAGGAAAUUCCAAGGAUCCAGAGUUCGAUGGAGCAACGAGUUUGAGAAGAUUUGACAUGAUGAUUAAAUUGAUUUUGUUCCUUAAACACAGGUUUUCAGGGCUGGAGCUAAAUACCGGAGAGGGGAAUGGCUGAAGGGUUCUGAGAAAUGAUAUGACUAACCUUUUUUCCCUUUUAAUUUCCUAAGCUUGGGUGAAGCAUGUUGAGUUUUUUGCCACAUGAGAUGUGUCAAAAAAGAGAGGGAUUUAAGAUUUAAUUUGUUUAAUUUGAAAUGGGUUUUAGUAUGAUUUUAACUAUUGGGGUUUUUGAUAACUUAGAUAUAGUAAAACUGAGGCAGAAAAUGUUAUUUUUUAAAGAAAGGAGUAAAAUGAACUGAAGUCGGUUUAGAAGAUAAAAUGCUGGUGUUCAUACGCUGCUGUAUAUAAAACUUAAAGGGAAACUGUGGGAAUAUAGGAUAUGCUUUGGGGAAAACAGGGAAGAUUUUCUUUUGUGAAGAGUUUUUCUUCUGACUUUUAGAAUAAGCUGUUAUAUGGUAGGCUUUAGAAACAGAUAGUAAAUGGAUUUAUUUCUAGGAUAAAGGAGAGCUUUUGAUGAGGAUGUUAGAAGUGUUACUGACCCAAAUGAAUAGUAUUGAAGAUUAUAUACACAGGAAUGAUUUCAUACACAUUGCAUUUUGUGCUUAUUAAAGAAAUGUUGCUCAAGUCAAUAACUGAAGGUCAGAAGCUUUGUUCGGCGCGAUGUCCGAGCAAUUUAUUGUGCAAGAUGACCUGAGCAUUGAAGUCUGCGCACGCUUACAGACAUAUAGAGUUCAUCAACACACAGGACAGUAUUGAUUUGAGGCCAAAGGCCUGAAAUCCCUUUAGCUUUUAACUGAAUUUGAGUUGACCCAAUAACAAAUGACAGAAAAGAGGAACUGAAUAGGAGUUUUGCUGGUAAUUAAACUGUGUGACAUGUAAAAUAUUGAGAAAA